UCUAUUCUGUUGCAAGUUGGUUUGUAAACAUGGUGCGAUGGUUCAGUAAGGUUGACAACAAACUUUCAGUGCAGCUAAAGAGAAACAUCAAUAUUUCUAAACUUGCAAAACCCAUCGUCAAUCCUGUUCUUUGGUUGACAUUCUGAAACCUAUAGGUACAUUGGAUAUUCUCCCAUGAACUAUUUCUUUCAGUUCUAAUUACUAUCACUUUCCUUUCCAGCUUGAUGCAUAGGGCCAUGUUCUUCAGGAGAAUCUCUAUCAUUUAAGUAUUAAUGAUCAGUGGGACAUUGCUACAAGACUGAGUGAAAGCCAACACCACCUUGCAAGCCUGAUAUUUUCACUCAAUCGCUCUACAGACUGUGGCAAUCAACCCAAAUGCCUAGAAUACAGGGUUGACGUAUGGGUCUGAAGCUCUGUACCUGAACCACCAAAGAAGCUUGGUAAAUGGCCUGCUCUAUACACUGUUUGAUGAUUGGCUGUUGGGAAAGGGGCCUCCUUAGUGGAAGAAUUUGGGGACCAAGAUCACUGCGUGAACCCUCAGGAAUCCUGCCAGACGUUUAAGCCAAAGCCGGCUUGAAGUACUGGAGCUGUUGUGACGCGCAGCUUGAACAAGAGGGAACUGAAGGCCAUAAAAGCCAAUUGCACAUCAAAGGGCCUUAUUGGUGUUUUGCAGGACACAUGGCUGUAUUACAAUGUAAGAACAUUUUCUUUAAUUAGCUGAAUUUCUAGAUGCCAACAAAUUGGCUUUAAUAAAU